AGUGUUUUGUAAAAAAUGCGUUUUUGCAUUAAUUUCGCAUCUUAUUUUAGCGCUGCAAUUGAUACAGUAACCCAACAAAACGUGGCAAUUAAGAAGCUGAGCAGACCAUUCCAGAAUGUGACCCAUGCAAAGCGAGCAUACCGAGAAUUUAAACUAAUGAAAUUAGUUGACCACAAAAAUAUAAUUGGUCUUCUAAAUGCAUUCACUCCUCAAAGGUCUUUGGAAGAAUUCCAAGAUGUCUACCUGGUGAUGGAGCUAAUGGAUGCAAACUUGUGUCAAGUGAUUCAAAUGGAUCUGGAUCACGAAAGAAUGAGCUAUCUACUGUAUCAAAUGCUGUGUGGUAUAAAGCAUUUACAUUCAGCGGGUAUUAUUCAUAGGGAUUUAAAGCCUAGUAAUAUAGUUGUUAAGUCGGAUUGCACUUUAAAAAUUCUGGAUUUUGGUUUGGCCAGGACAGCCGGAACAACGUUUAUGAUGACGCCAUAUGUUGUAACUAGAUAUUAUAGGGCGCCCGAAGUGAUAUUAGGUAUGGGCUAUACUGAAAACGUGGAUAUAUGGUCAGUCGGUUGUAUCAUGGGGGAAAUGAUUCGCGGAGGAGUUUUGUUUCCGGGCACUGAUCAUAUUGAUCAGUGGAAUAAGAUUAUUGAACAAUUGGGAACGCCUUCUCAACAGUUCAUGGUGAGACUGCAACUUACUGUAAGGAACUAUGUAGAAAAUCGACCGAGAUAUCCUGGAUUCACAUUUGAAAAGCUAUUUCCCGAUGUUUUGUUCCCUUCGGAUAGUAGCGAGCAUAAUAGGUUAAAGGCUACACAAGCGCGAGAUUUGUUGUCCAAAAUGCUUGUAAUCGAUCCCCAGUCUCGGAUAUCUGUAGAUGAAGCGCUGUUACAUCCGUAUAUUAACGUGUGGUAUGAUGAACAAGAAGUAAAUGCUCCUGCGCCAGGUCCGUACGAUCACAGUGUGGAUGAACGAGAGCACACUGUCGAGCAAUGGAAAGAAUUAAUCUAUCAAGAGGUCAUGGAGUAUGAAAGUUCUCAUGGUAGAGCUCAGUCCAGCGGAUCACAGCAACCAAGUCCAGCAGCUCCCAACAACGUAGAACCAAAUGGUUACUGAAUGGGAUAAAGAACAAUCGUUACACCAGACUAACAAACAGUAGAAGAUACCUGAGAGAACAAUAAGGUACCUGGAAGACUUUGUAGAAAAUAAAUAAUUUAUUUCUAGAAAAUCAAUAAUUCCAAUUUUGGAAAAGCUUUGAAACAAAAAUGCUGUAACACAUUAACUUCAGAUUUCCUUAUUGUUCCCAAAACAUUUGUUGGGUGUGUACAUAUUUAGAAUUAGAAGCCACAAAAAAACACACUCAUUCGGAAUUGUUUGGCUUUAGUAUAAUUGAUUGUUAACUCCAGGUUUGAAUCGUUAUGUUAUCGUCCUAUCGGGGCUAACUAGCUUUCUAGAAACCUACCGUUAUUUGAUUUUAAAUUGUCACAACUGUUUUCUUUACAUUCUUUCUUGUUGUCAUGUUUAUCUGAAUUAAUAUUUGAAAAAAUCCGUACUUGAAGGUUAUACUUUACUACAUCAGUAGUUGUAAUGGAUGUAGAAUAUAGUACGUAGAUGUUAAUUAUUGUUUUUAACCGUUAUUCGCUUUUAUUGUAUUGAUUUUGUUUCUACCAACCUUUGUAUCUGUUAAAAGCAAUUAUUUUUGCUUGUUUCAUUCUAAGUAGUAUUUCCUAUAUUUAUGUAAGAGUGAAAUAAGUAUGUAGUCUUAGCAAUAGUAACCGUACUUUUUAACUUAAAGUAGCAUUAGUGGAAACCGAGGUUUAAGAAUGAAUGAGCCAAUUGAGCACUUAAAAGCAGUCAUAAAGUGUAAAUUGUGUUUAAUAAUGUAACUUUAAUUAUAAAACAACCAUCCGAUCCAUUUUAAAAUGUUCUGUAAAAAUGUGACAAAUUAGGUAGUGAAUUUUAUAAGGACACUCUUCAUUAUUGUUAUUUUAAUUUUUAUAGGGCUUUCAAUCUUUGUGAUAUUUCAUUUUUUACAUCGCACAUAUUUGUCUUGUGCCGAAACUCCAAUGUCUGACGUCUGAUACUUGCUGGUCUACUUUUCACAAGUAGAAUAUCUAUAUGUAUAUGCUAUAUUAGAAAACUUUUUUAAGUCUAUAUUUGAAACAGACAAACCACUGGAGGGUUCACUAAAAAUAUAACGUCUCAAUUCCUUCACUGGGUUUGGUUUAAUGAUUAAAUGGGUAUAAAGUUUAACCGUUAAAGUGAGAACUUUCUACCUAAAGAGCCAUUUAUGUAGACAGAGAAGACGUCUCAAUUCCUUCACUGGGUUUGGUUUAAUUAUUAAAUGGGUAUAAAGUUUAACCGUUAAACUGAGAACUUUCUACCUAAAGAGCCAUUUAGGUAGACAGUCUUAACUGGUAUGAUCUUUUGUUUUACAGUGACAAUCGAAAAAUUAUGUUGUAUUUCGUCAACACAAUUUUAUGAAUUUGAUUGAUUAAUGAAGAUUCCACAAAAUAAAAUCGAAAGCCGCGUUUUUCGCAAAAGAUUGUUUAAAAUACUGUAUGUAAUUUUUAAUUAGGAUGUUUCUUCCAUCAGAUCCACUCAAACCGACAGUACACGUAGCAAGUUAUACUUACAGUCAUUCGUUUUUAUCUUUAGUCAAAUUUUAAUUAGUUUUUUUGGUGACAUCUGUAUUGUGCUAAUAACAUGUUAUGUAGUUGUCCAAUAUUAAUUGAGUUUGUAUUAUUUAAUAUUUUAAUGUCUUCUUUUUGUAAAAAGAUGAAAAUAUGACUGUGUAAAUAACUGAAUUAUCGUGAAUUUUCUUUUUUCGUAGAUCCAAAUAUAUGAAAUCACACUAAGUAGUAAAGUAAAAAUAUACGCAUAGGUUCUUAGAGCGCUUUAUAUCUUUCCAUACUUUGUAAUAUCGAUAACCUCAUACAUUUGAGGUUGGCUAUAUUACUAAUACCACGGUUAAUUUACCAAUUUUGAUCAAUUGAUCACUUUUAGUAUACUAUAUAGUAAGAUACAUUCAGUGCUUGUAUUGUUCUGCUUUGUAAAUAAACGAAAUUAAUAACG